rnacentral:rRNA from 1 species
CCUACGGGUGGCAGCAGUGGGGAAUUUUCCGCAAUGGGCGAAAGCCUGACGGAGUGACGCCGCGUGUGGGAUGAAGGCCUUCGGGUCGUAAACCACUGUCAGUGGGAAAGAUGGGUGUCGGCGCGAUAACCGCUGGCACUUGACGGUACCUGCAGAGGAAGCCCCGGCUAACUCUGUGCCAGCAGCCGCGGUAAGACAGAGGGGGCAAGCGUUGCUCGGAAUUACUGGGCGUAAAGGGCGCGUAGGCGGGAUGGUAAGUCGGUCGUGAAAUCCCUCGGCUCAACCGAGGAGCGUCGACCGAUACUGCCGUUCUUGAGGAUUGCAGAGGAGACUGGAAUUCCCGGUGUAGCGGUGAAAUGUGUAGAGAUCGGGAGGAACACCGGUGGCGAAGGCGGGUCUCUGGGCAAUUCCUGACGCUGAGGCGCGAAAGCGUGGGGAGCAAACGGGAUUAGAUACCCUAGUANUC